rnacentral:lncRNA from 1 species
GGAGACUGAGGAGCGAAGGCACAUGGAAGGCGCAUGCGCGGCAUGCCUGUCCGUGCCAGACGUGUGCGUGGGGUCUUCAAACCGCCUCGACCAUUACCGUUCCUAUCUGACAGCCAGAGCGGGUCUCGAGAUGUAGUUCAACCUGGCCUCAAACUCAUUAUGUAGCCCAGACUGGCCCUGAACUCAUGGUGAUCUUCGUGGAUCAGCCUCCAGAAUACCGGGAUUACAAGCGUGCACCACCACUUCUGGCUAAACCUAUUAUUUUGAAGCAACAACCCCGCUGCUGAAACCAAUGUCUUUCUGUGUUUUUAACUAUCCCGUGCAUUUGAAGAAUUGCCUAACCGUUCCACAGUUCAGCCAUAUUUAGAAAGUUCUUUUGUCUAAUGCCAGACAUGGCUGGAAAAUUUGGAAAAUUAACAAGAAAUUUUUUCCAGUGACAAGAGAAUGUGGCUUUGUUUGCUUUGCUUUGGGGAGAGCUAAUUAAAUCUUGUAUCAUUCCGCCACCUGCUGGCCAUGUCUUGAAUUUUUCUAUUUCCUCCAAUAAGAGGCAAAAGGUUUAUUCAACAAUUUACGAACUAAUACUAUUUUUUCCCUUCACCUGAAAAGCUACAGCUCACAGAAGAGCCAAUUAAUAUGACUGAGUAGGAAAAAUGCUUCAGAUGUAUUCAUGUUUAAUAAGGAAAACUAUUUGCUUUUUAAAUCUUCAAAAAUACCUGGGCGAGGGCCGGGGAUUUAGCUCAGUGGUUCUGCCACCUGCCUCACAACCGUAAGGACCCAAGUUCGAU